AUUGAACGCUGGCGGCAGGCCUCACACAUGCCAGUCGAACUAGUGGCGGACGGGUGAGUAAUGUCUGGGAAACUGCCUGAUGGAGGGGGAUAACUACUGGAAACGGUAGCUAAUACCGCAUACCAUCAGAUGUGCCCAGAUGGGAUUAGCUUGUUGGUGGGGUAACGGCUCACCAAGGCGACGAUCCCUAGCUGUUCUGAGAGGAUGACCAGCCACACGGGAAAUGAGACAAGGUACAGAAGCCUACGGGAGGCAGAAGUGGGGAAGAGUGCAAAAUGGGCGCAAGCCUGAUGCAGCCAUGCCGCGUGUAUGAAGAAGGCAUGCGGGGUGUAAAGUACUUUAAGCGGGGAGGCGUGACCCGCAGAAGAAGCACCGGCUAACUCCGUGCCAGCAGCCGCGGUAAUAC
rnacentral:rRNA from 1 species